UAUUUUUAUUUUUUUGAUUAGGAUCAUAAUUAGAAUUGGGCGUGCUGUUGGACCGGUGAUUAUUGGACCCAGUGUUGUUGUUAGGACCGCCUCCUUGGUCCUGUUUUGUUUUAGAGCUUGAUCCACUUGACCCAUUAGACCCACAGGAUUCGGAUCCAGUUGAGCCAUUAAACCCGUGUGCUUUGUUCCCAGUCGCACCAGUCCCGUGAGCCUCCACUGCCUUCCCCUUUCUUCUCCGGUUUUGAUUCGAAGUUCCACCAUGCUCGACGAACAGUGCUUGAUCUUUCUCACCACCAUAAGAUUCUUCUUCUCUGAUCCUCUCUUUAUAUGCCUUCAUCCUGCCAACUACAUCAUCAAAAUUGGUAUUAUUUAGGUCUAGUAUAUGUUCCAGUGAUGCUACCAUAUGAAUGAAUUUUCGUGGCAGUGACUUAAGGAACUUCUUUACAAGCUUGGAUUCGUCGAUCACAGAUCCUAAUGCUGCCGAUUUUUAAGAAAUUCCGGACAGCUUUUCGGAGAAAUUGUCGAUCGUCUCUGAUUCGUUCAUCCUAAGCUGAUCGAAUUCGACACCUAGGGUUUGAAGACGGGCCUCCUUCACUCGAUCAACCCCAAUGUAUCGAUCCUUGAUUACGUCCCAAAGCGCCUUCGAAGACUCGACUUCUCUGAUUUGCAUGAUUAAUGAUUUCGGGAUCGCCUGAUACAAUAAUCCCAUUGCCAGGGACCAAGCUGUGUAAUUUGUGGUAUUGAGCAUGGGACAUUGAACCGAGGUCGCUCCAGUCUCCUUCUCCCUCCUCAGAGCACCGCCUCAAGACCCUUCAUCUCCUAUCAUGUCGACCACCUUCUUCAACAGGUAAGUAAAUUGAUUUCAAAACCAUAUGUUCUUGGCUCUGAUACCAAUUCAAGUCAAGAAUGUAUAACACAAACAAUUAAUCAAACUAUCUCUUUGAUUAAAUGAGGAAAUAACUGAAAACUCAAUUUGUGAAUACAAUCUCUUACCCUACACGGCUAAACAAGAUGUAUAUAUAUAUAUAUAUAUAUAUAUAUAUAUAUAUAUAUAUAUAUAUAUAUAUAUAUAUAUAUAUAUAUAUAUAUAUAUAUAUAUAUAUAUAUAUUCUAAUCUACUGACUUGUAAUUAGAUCACAAUUAGGAAACUAAAAACUGACUUGGACAUAGUUUCCUAAAAACUAAGUUGAUUUUGUUUGGUCUCCAAGUCCUACUCGACUUAGGAUUCCAACAUAUGUUUUACAUGAGAAAUUCCAUUUGUUACAUGCCUGGAUUCGGUCGGAACAAAAGGCUAACAUAAAACACCCAAGAAACUUAAAAAUUAGUAAGAUAUGGAUGUAUUAUAAAAUUAUAUUAACAAAAGACUGAAAGAGAAUGUUGGUGGUAUAACACAGUGAUAAGUUUAUCACUUUAGUAACAUUAGUAAAUGGACUAUUAUAAGAUGAUCAAGUAUAUGCAUCCUUCAUAAAAUACUUAUUGCUAUAUGUAUUCUUUUUUAUCAUGAUUAUUUUUACUUUUUGACACAAAUGAAAAAAUAAAUCGUAACCAUAAAAUUUUUAGUCACAUGAUUUUUUUUAAUAAUUUAUCACCAUAAAAUUAAAUUAUGACAAAAAAAUAGUUAUUGUCAUGUUUCUUUUCUUUUAUCAUGACAAGUUUACUUUUUAGACAUAUAAAAAAAAAGUAAACGACAACCUUAAAAUACUUAUAGUUACAUGUUUUUUCUUUUACUAUGUUGCUAAUAAACACUGCCAUUUGGUCACAUAAAAUAAUUUUAGUCACCAUAUAAAUUAGAUUUUUGUAACAGUUUAUUCAUGUAACAAAUUUCACCCUAUUAUUUCGUCACAUAAAUUUCGACUUUGUAUGAGCUUAUGUAUUUAUCAUUUCAAUUAAUAAUCAUCAAAAGAUUAAUCUACAUAUCAAACAAAAAACCGUAACAAGUGAUGACAUAUGGCCAUACUGUUCAACCCUGGCUCGUACUUGUCAUAAUUUUAAUGCUAAAUCGUGGCUAAAGGUGUAAAUAUGAUUUAAAAUGGUCACAAUAAUUUAGCUAAAGUAUGGCUAAAACAAUAUUAGAACAUCAUCAAUGACCGUUAUAUAUCAAAAUAUUCAAAAAUGUGGUCAAAUUGUUUUGACAAAAUUAUGGCCCUUGGUCAUUUGGUAUCGGUGUUCAAAGGGAAUUUUCAAGGGCACAAUUCCUAUGAGCUCUUAUAGAACCAGCAAAAAAUUUAUGAACAUUACAAACAUACUAGUAAGAACCUAAGUACUCCGUAGUUUAUAGAGAAUUAUGUGAGACACAUACUGAUUAUUUAUACGAAUGAUAGAAUGAUUCAAAGAGUACGAGCCUACUAUUUUCCUAGUAAAAUAAUAACUUCUUAAAAUACGGUUCAAAGGGCAACACCAACCUAUCCUAUGAAAGGUUUAACUAAUGUAUUUUAUCUCGGUGGCUUGAAAACGGUCAGAUGUUUUAUAUGAGGAUUGUUGGAAAAAUGGGUUUAUCCAUACUCCAAAAAUAGGCUAUCUCUAUUUCUAAACACAAAUCCAGAUGUUGGUAUAAUAUGCGCUUAAAACGUAGUUAAAAUGAAUGAGAAACUAAUCUUUAAAAUGAAUUAGUUUGAUGAUUUAGAUAAAAAUUAUUAAUGAGCUUAAAUAAUCUCAUAGAGGAUGGAGGUUGAACAAGAAGUUUGUAUAUAACUUAGUAGAAUUUAUUUUUCUCCUUAUAAAACUUAUAGUGUCAGGUCUCUCUCUUGUGUCUGUAGAGGGUGAAGCUACGAACCAAAGUGCCUUGGUUCACUAAACUUGUUUGUGAGCGUGCACGAAUACACCGCUCUACCAAAUAAGUCCAUGGCAUUUAAGUAAAUAUUUCUAUUUCAUUACUAAAAGUUUAAUUUAUAUCAAUUACAAACCUUGCAUUAAACAUAAUAUUAAUCACAUAUUUUCGGUUUUGAUUUUUUGGUUAAUGUUUGUCAUCAAUUCAUCUAUUGCAUAGUUGAUGCCAAUGUGUCGGUUAUACAUUUUUCUCGGUAUAAAUACUACACUUUAUGAGAUAGAUUGAGACAUCUUAUAUGUUAUUGAAUCUCUUCCUCUACCUAUUUCUUGUGUUUCCUGACACUUUCAAGGUAGAAUUCAUGGCUAAAUGUGGGCAGUCUCCAAGAAGCGCUUUUAGUUGUUGCAUCCUUGGAAACAAAUGUUUGAUUGCGCGAGAAUUUAUUCUAAGAACACCAUGUUAAAACAUGUUAUCAUUUUCUGAUUUCUUGUUUGUUUUCAUAUAUUACCGUAAUAUAUUUUUCUACAAAACAACAAUGUUUAAAUAUCCAAAAAUAAAAUCAUUAAAAUCCAACAAUAAUAUGUCAUUUGUUUUGAUUAACUUAGAGAUGGAUCAACAAGGAAUCUUUAGAUUAUGUAGUUAAGUUCAUCAAAACUAAUGAUGACAUUUAAUGAUUUUAACUAUUAUUUUAAAUUUAAGAUAUUGUAAAUUAAGAAGUAAUGCGACUGACCUUGUGCUUUUUUUUUUGGCAAUAAUGGCCUCCAAAACGAGGGUGUCCAAACCAGCUUAUGCGUACAUUGACUAAUCCUCCAUGGGAACAUGAAGUUAUGUCAUUUGCCCCGGAGUUAUAAAAAAUGAACCUCCAUGGCCACCCGAAGAAUAACAAUGUUAGGAUUCGAACAUGGGUUGUAACUUAUCCAUCAUAUCUUCUAUAUGACUUACCCCUACACCAUAAUCCUUGUGGUUGAGAAUGAGCUUUUGUUAGUCAAGUGGGGAAAAAAUUAUUGACCAAAUUGUACAUGAGAAUGAAAAGUUGAAAUUAUUUUCACUAAUCUUGUAGAUGUUGAUGUGAUUAUAAAGAGGUAAUCAGCCAGGGGGAUUGUUUGUAACAUCCUUGAAUGUUUAGGAAAAUUUAAUAUGUAUUUUGCUAUGAUUGUACAUUACAACAAGUGAAUUCUUAUUUUCAAUACUGUUAUGUUAAUAAGAAUGAAAGUUUAGUAUAA